GUGAAAAUCAUUACUCUACUUAAUAUCUUAUGGGCUAGAAAUUGCAUAAACUCCAAGAUGUCCCUUAAACAAAAAAAAACUUUGAGUAGCUACUACAACAACAGCAUUGUUUUUUAUGAUUCCGGAAACUAUGAUUCUAUUUUGAGACUAACUGUCAACUGCACGCUUCCGUCCCUCGCUCAACUGAGUAGCAACAGCAGCAAGACAAAUAGACAAUUGGGAUUUUUUGUUGAUAACAGUUGAAUAAUUGUUUUAGUUUUUGCCAUUGUUUACCCUACAAAACUCCCUUUCGUGUGCAAAUACUUGUCUGGAACCUGUAAAGCAGUAAAAAUGCAUUCGCCUCUAAAUAAUAUGUAGAAAAUAAUUUCCAAAGAAAUUCUAAACCGAUAAGUAUUUUAUACAAAGAAAAGCUAAAAUUUUAUUAGUAUGAAGUACUUAAUGCAAAGGUCAUGUCCAACGCAUACGCCUCGUCCCGAGCUGCUUAGGUAAAUAUUUGCUUACACUUGUGGUAAUACGUACAGGUAUAUUGCUUUGUAAUUCCCGACUUUUCUUUUAAUAUUCGCCUUAAUAUUAGAUUCGAGUGCUCAUCGACAUUUUAUAACCUUUGCUGACUCAUUGUUGUACUUGUAAGUGCCGAUUUUAUAAGUCGUAAUUUUUCAAAAGCAACAAAAGCAAAAAUUCAUUUCAACCUAUGCGUUUAACAUUUUUUUUACUUAGAUACACGUACCCUUUCAAGUGAUAAGAAUUUUCUGUAAGCGGAAGCAGCUUUUUCUUAUCUACCUAUUUACAAAUAAUUAUGUGUGUAGUUAGUGCAAGCAAAGAUAUUACUUUAAAAUAUUGGAUGUCAACAUGUAAUAAUAAUUUUAGAAUUGGUUUUCAUAAAAGAAAACACAUGAGUAACAGUGGUGUCGUAGCUGCGUGUGUUAAGUUCGUGACAACUAGUCAAGUAGUCGGUGGUUUGUGGGUUCAAAACCCGGUUGUGACGAAAAUUGUUAUAAAAGCUCCUGAACUUUGUCUGUUUUGAAUUUCCACGUGUUCUCUGACAUGAUGUUGUUGUUGUUGUAGCGACAGAAUUCUGCCGAAUUGACAGUUCUCCACCAAAUCCGGAUUCGUUCCGUUUACGUAAACCCGAAUGUCGUGGGAACGGGUUUCAGGCAUGGCCUCUCGAAGCAUUUAUGGUAGACUUUUAGGGCCAAAAUUUGGAAGUAGAAGCGUGGCCAAAUAGUUUACAAAGAUAUAAUCAAAUAAAUUAAAAAUUUCUUGAUGAUAUGUGAGUAUUGCGAAUGCGCUAAGCACCAUAAAUCUUCCGCAGAACCUUCCGAAAUCUCGUAGCGCGAACUAAUCAUAUGUUGUCUUGUGGAGUUUGGUGUUUGUUCGUCGAGAGAGGACUUUACUUCUCAAUUGCUUUCCCCUUUUUGUGGAUUGUGCAGAACACACUUUCGUCCAACUAUAUUCUAAAAGAAGUUAAUGCAUGCUCCUUAUCAGUUCUUUGUUGCAGUAUUUGAAAAGCUCGUCCGCCAAUCCAUCUGUCUCAGCCGCUUUGUUGUUGUUUAGACGGGUAAUUGCUAUUCGGAAUUUUUCAUAGUCGGGCAAUGGAACGUCUACGCCAUCGUCCUCGUUUGGGGAAUCGGGUUCACUAUAUUCUGGUAGUAAGCUUUCACUGCCAUUCAGUAGGUUGGAGAAGUGUUUCCUUCUUAAUUUCAGUAUACUCUGGGCAUUAGUCACUAGAUCACCUAGGGGAUUUUACAGGAGUAAGAUCCGGUCUUGAAACCUUCUGUUAGUCGGCUAGCUUAUGAAGCUCUUCGUAUUCAAACUCCCUCCAUUUUGUCUGCAAAUGCGUCUCGCUUCUCACUUCAGCUCUCGGUAUCUAUCCCAUCCCACACGUGUUUUAGCCGAUUGUAACGUUGCAAGGUGGACAGUCUUAAAAUUACUUAUUAAUAUUUUAGAAGUAAGUGUAAAUAAGAUCUGAUUAAUAAUAUAAUAACACUUAUCGAUAUUUACAGUAAUUAAGUCAUAGACCUUAGAGAGAUCCCUGAAUUGAUAUAAAAACAAAUGCCUUUCAAUAAUAGUUUAAGAUAAGUGUUUACAGUUAAGUGCGCAAAGUAAAAUAACGGAAGUUGUUUAAUACCCACUAGUGUUAUUUAUACACAUGGUAAUUAGAAAAAAGCUUUUGUUUUUUUCGAGUAUCGCUAGUGCUUGAGUUAAAUACUGAGUAAUAGUGGGGACGAACUACCUACAAGUGGGGACCACAAAAGUGAAUCAUAUUCUAAUUUUUUCUUAAAUAUUUUCUUACGUUAAGCUUUGCAUGAGCUUUGAAUCUGAUAUUACUCGGAAGGUGGUAAAACAGAGCUUGACGUUGUCAAGUGUCAUCAGUUAGUGUCAGUUAUCAAAUGUCAAAAUGAGGAAUUUUGUAUUUUUAGAUUGUCAUAUACAUAUAUUGGAUUUGUGAUAGUCAAUAUUUAAAUGUGGUCAGUCGGUGUGACGACAUCAAUGCUCGCCACUCGGUACGCAGCAUUUAGUUGACAUAAUUAAUGGCAGAGUUGCCAAUUCGCAAAAAAACAACA